rnacentral:lncRNA from 1 species
ACUGCCUCAGCUCAGCACAGCUUCCUCCUUCCUCAGGGUUUCUGACACUCUCAGGAUGUGGGUUUCCACACUGUGUAUCUCGCACAGUAAUACACGGCCGUGUCCUCAGCCUUUAGGCUGCUGAUCUGCAGGUACACUGUGCUGACAGAGGUGUCCAUGGAGAAGACAAACCGUUCUGUGAAGCCCUGGGCAUACGUUGGGUUCCCAGUGUAGGUGUUCAUCCAUCCCAUCCACUCAAGGCCCUGUCCAGGGGCCUGUCGCACCCAAUUCAUACCAUAGGUGGUGGAGCUGUAACCAGAAGCCUUGCAGGAGACCUUCACUGAGGCCCCAGGCUGCUUCACCUCAGGCCCAGACUGCACCAGCUGCACCUGGGAGUGGGCACCUGUGGAGAGGACACAGGAUUGCGUGAAGUCUCACUUGACUGGCCUGGUUUCUGCCUCCGCCCUGGGACCUGGGAGCCCCUUACAUGUUGCUGCUGCCACCAAGAAAAGGAUGCUCCAGAUUCUCCUCUUAUGAGAUCAUUCUGAACCAUGCCAACAACCUCCACCAUGCACACUUUCAACCUUUACCUUUUAAGGGAAUAAGGGCACAAAUUCAUCAUUGCUUUAAGGUGAGAAACCUUCUUGGACUUCCAUCAUAUUCAUUAGAAACUCUCAUGGAGAACCAUAAUGAAACAUUAUUUGUUUAUGAAUCAUACCUCGAAACUGAAACUGUUUCUCAUAAUGGCUAUACCCUUCUAUAAUUCCACAAUUAUAGAAAGCAGUAUAAAGGCUCCUAAAUUAAUUAAAACUAGAAAUAUAUGACCAGAAAUUCUGCUUCUAGAAAUAUACCCAAAGGAGUUAAAAUUACCACCUUGUAAAGAUAUCUGCAUCCUAUAUUUAUUGAAACACUAUUAAUAACAGCCAAGAUACGGAAACAAUCUGAGUGUCAGUAGACAGACAAAUGGAAAAAGGCAAUGCGAUAUGUAUACACAAUAGAAAACUAUUUAAUCUUAUAAAAGAAGAUGCUGCCAUUUGCCACAAGAUGG